UACGUAGGGUGCAAGCGUUAAUCGGAAUUACUGGGCGUAAAGCGUGCGCAGGCGGUUUUUCAAGACAGAUGUGAAAUCCCCGGGCUCAACCUGGGAACUGCAUUUGUGACUGCAUGGCUAGAGUACGGUAGAGGGGGAUGGAAUUCCGCGUGUAGCAGUGAAAUGCGUAGAUAUGCGGAGGAACACCGAUGGCGAAGGCAAUCCCCUGGACCUGUACUGACGCUCAUGCACGAAAGCGUGGGGAGCAAACAGG
rnacentral:rRNA from 1 species